CACUUCAAGCCAUGAAGAGGAAUAAAAGCUUGAAAACAAGUAACCGUGAGGCGCUCAGCGCCACCCCUUCACCACUUAGCGCUGGCGGAGUCUGUCUUUCCAACACGUUUCUUAUGCUUUUGGAUGCAUCCAGCACAUGUUUUGCACCAACCCACGUGGACUGUGAUCCGUAGAAUAUGGAUAAUAAUCUGUUGUGUACAUCUUUCGUGCACAAAGGGGUGAAUCAUCUAUAAAUUCACCCACCUCACGUUGUAUGACUUACCUUUGAAUAUAUGAGAGAAAACUUUGCUGAUGCAUUUUCCAGGUCUUUUCUCUGCACCAAGGGUCCCUUUCGACUGCUUCCUCCCUUACCCCUAUAGCUUCCUUCCUUGAUGGAGGGCCGCCUGAGCUAUAGCCGCUUCAUUGAAGCACCUCACCCAUUCCCAAACAGCCAUCAAUAUUCACUACUUCCGCUGCCAGAUUUCCCAUUAUCCUCCACCGUACUACUUUCACGGUUCUGUGCUGGACAAAGUAUCUGGGCACCUCUAUCAAGUGCAUAGCAGAGACCUAUACAUCCAAGGUAGCUUCUUAGGAAGUGGAGUAAAGGUGGAAUCAAGUGCAGAAACCCACUUUUGGUGUAGCAGUUUUCACGGCCACACCUGUCCAAUUAUUGUGCUUUGCUACAACAACAGACCUUACUCCCUAGCAACUGCGAGAGUUGUAUUGAAGUUACACAGUUCACCCUUUUGAGAAGCUAAAGCUGCAUAGUCUCUCUCCCCUUCUCCAUUUGUGCACUUUGUAUUUGUUUCCUCAUUUUAAUCUCUUGUUAUUGGCCAUUAAGCAAGUGACUUGGAAGAAUUCACAAGUGUUCUUCCAUCACUUGCAAAACUUUGCUUUCAAUUUGCUCAUUAAAAUUGAUAAACGGUUCUUGUGUCUUGGAUCCAAA